AGUGAUCUGCCCGCCUUAGCCUCCCAAAGUGCUGGGAUUAUAGCAAUGUGCCACUGUGCCUGGCCAGUGAAAUCUUAUUGGAUGAAGUUAACAGAUAAACUUGAUCUGUCUUGGCUUUAUGCUUAAAGACUUCCUGUAGCCUAUUCUCACAUAUCCCAUAUCAAUUGUUUAACAGUUAUAUUCUUGAGACCUAUAGUGUAAUUUUUUAAAAUGAUCUCAUUUAUACAUUAGCUGUAAUCUCUGUCAUUUGACCAAAGAAUAACUUUAUCUCUGGCUAUUUUUUAUUCAGAAGUAUGGAUCAAAUUGUGCUAGCACAUCCUUCCUUAGCUUCUAAGUAGAAAGCAAAUAUGCAGAGUGAGGGUUUAUUUGGUGCAAACACUAAUGCAAGAGAUUGAAAGAUGAGUAGGGCAAGAAGAGCUGGUGAUUUUGUUUUCAGUCCAAAUUUAUUGCAUAUUUUGCUAGGUAUUGUGAAAGAUGAAUGAUGAUCACUGAGACAUUAAUAUAUCCUCUAAGAAUAUAUAAGCAGAAUAAUUUUUGUUAUUCCUUGCAGGGUCACACUUAUUUAUCCAGAGUAUAAAAGGAAAAUAUUUUGGGUUCCCCAAAUCACUAAGCUAAAGGGAAAAGUCAAGCCGGGAACUCCUUAUGGCAAACCUGCCUCUCACUCUAUUCAAAGUCAUCGGUCUGCUGAGGU